rnacentral:rRNA from 1 species
UACGUAGGGGGCGAGCGUUGUCCGGAAUGAUUGGGCGUAAAGGGCACGCAGGCGGCUUUUUAAGUCUGAUGUGAAAGGCCUCGGCUUAACCGGGGAGGUGCAUUGGAAACUGAAGAGCUUGAGUCCAGGAGAGGGGAGUGGAAUUCCACGUGUAGCGGUGAAAUGCGUAGAGAUGUGGAGGAACACCAGUGGCGAAAGCGGCUCUCUGGCCUGAGACUGACGCUGAGGUGCGAAAGCGUGGGGAGCGAACAGG